rfam:Hordeum vulgare subsp. vulgare, WGS project CAJW01000000 data, contig: morex_contig_274385
UAAAUACUCCCUCCGUCCGAAAAUACUUGUUUUAGAAAUAGAUAUAAUAAAUAUAUCUAUAAUUAAAAUAAAUCUAGAUACAUUCAUCUUUAGGACAAGUAUAUUUGGACGGAGGAAGUAUAAG